rnacentral:rRNA from 1 species
CCUACGGGAGGCAGCAGUCGGGAAUAUUGCGCAAUGGAGGAAACUCUGACGCCGUGACGCCGCGUGCAGGAAGAAGGUUUUCGGAUUGUAAACUGCUUUAGACAGGGAAGAAACAAGACAGUACCUGUAAAAUAAGCUCCGCCUAACUACGUGCCAGCAGCCGCGGUAAACGUAGGGCGAACGCGUUAUCCGGAUUUAAUGGGGGUAAAGGGUGCGUAGACGGGAAGUCAAGUUGGUUGUGAAAUCCCGCGGCUUAACUGAAGGACUGCAACUAAAACUAACAUUCUUGAGUGCUGGAGAGGAAAGUGGAAUUCCUAGUGUAGCGGUGAAAUGCGUAGAGAUUAGGAGGAACACCAGUGGCGAAGGCGACUUUCUGGACAGUAACUGACGUUGAGGCACGAAAGUGUGGGGAGCAAACAGGAUUAGAUACCCCGGUAGUC